rnacentral:rRNA from 1 species
UAGGGAAUCUUCGGCAAUGGACGGAAGUCUGACCGAGCAACGCCGCGUGAGUGAAGAAGGUUUUCGGAUCGUAAAGCUCUGUUGUAAGAGAAGAACGAGUGUGAGAGUGGAAAGUUCACACUGUGACGGUAUCUUACCAGAAAGGGACGGCUAACUACGUGCCAGCAGCCGCGGUAAUACGUAGGUCCCGAGCGUUGUCCGGAUUUAUUGGGCGUAAAGCGAGCGCAGGCGGUUAGAUAAGUCUGAAGUUAAAGGCUGUGGCUUAACCAUAGUAGGCUUUGGAAACUGUUUAACUUGAGUGCAAGAGGGGAGAGUGGAAUUCCAUGUGUAGCGGUGAAAUGCGUAGAUAUAUGGAGGAACACCGGUGGCGAAAGCGGCUCUCUGGCUUGUAACUGACGCUGAGGCUCGAAAGCGUGGGGAGCAAACAGGAUUAGAUACCCUGGUAGUCCACGCUGUAAACGAUGAGUGCUAGGUGUUAGACCCUUUCCGGGGUUUAGUGCCGUAGCUACGCAUUAAGCACUCCGCCUGGGGAGUACGACCGCAAGGUUG